GGACCUCAGGCCUCACACUAUACCUCCCAUUGAGCACAAAAUAUGAAUUACUUAGUUAAGAAAAGCAAGAGGAAUUCAACCAGGAAAAUUCUGAUAAAAAGCUAUGAAAUAAGUAGACCUUUCACAAUUCACAAGAAAAACAUUGCAUAAUAAAAGGAUGCUAGAAGAACACUGAUUACAUCGUAAGUCCUUAGUCUUCGGGAGGACACAGUUGAGAAGCUAGUCUUCAAAACUGAUCAUAUGACUACAGUAAUAUUCUUAAAACUAUGUAAAUUGCACAGACAUUCCUGCAGAUAAUAUCGUCAAGUUGAAAACUCCCGGAGGAGGAAGUCGCUGCACUUUUUCAG